GCGCGUAUAGCUCAGUGGCAGAGCGCCACUCUUAUAAAGUGGAUGUCGAUGGUUCGAAUCCAUCUACGCGCACCA
rnacentral:tRNA from 1 species